CCUACGGGAGGCAGCAGUAGGGAAUCUUCCGCAAUGGACGAAAGUCUGACGGAGCAACGCCGCGUGAACGAUGAAGGCCUUCGGGUCGUAAAGUUCUGUUGUUAGGGAAGAACAAGUGCUAGUUAAAUAAGCUGGCACCUUGACGGUACCUAACCAGAAAGCCACGGCUAACUACGUGCCAGCAGCCGCGGUAAUACGUAGGUGGCAAGCGUUGUCCGGAAUUAUUGGGCGUAAAGCGCGCGCAGGCGGUUUCUUAAGUCUGAUGUGAAAGCCCCCGGCUCAACCGGGGAGGGUCAUUGGAAACUGGGAAACUUGAGUGCAGAAGAGGAAAGUGGAAUUCCAAGUGUAGCGGUGAAAUGCGUAGAGAUUUGGAGGAACACCAGUGGCGAAGGCGACUUUCUGGUCUGUAACUGACGCUGAGGCGCGAAAGCGUGGGGAGCAAACAGGAUUAGAUACCCUGGUAGUCCACGCUGUAAACGAUGAGUGCUAAGUGUUAGAGGGUUUCCGCCCUUUAGUGCUGAAGUUAACGCAUUAAGCACUCCGCCUGGGGAGUACGGUCGCAAGACUGAAACUUAAAUGAAUUGACGGCUUGAGAGNGCGAGCGACACGAGGAGGAGG
rnacentral:rRNA from 1 species